GCUGGGGUAGCUCAAUUGGUAGAGCAUGAGACUCCUUAAUCUCAGGUUUGUGGGUUUGAGCCCCACAUUGGGCC